rnacentral:rRNA from 1 species
AGUGAACGCUGGCGGUAGGCCUAACACAUGCAAGUCGAACGGCAGCACAGGAGAGCUUGCUCUCUGGGUGGCGAGUGGCGGACGGGUGAGGAAUACAUCGGAAUCUACUCUGUCGUGGGGGAUAACGUAGGGAAACUUACGCUAAUACCGCAUACGACCUACGGGUGAAAGCAGGGGACCUUCGGGCCUUGCGCGAUUGAAUGAGCCGAUGUCGGAUUCGCUAGUUGGCGGGGUAAAGGCCCACCAAGGCGACGAUCCGUAGCUGGUCUGAGAGGAUGAUCAGGCACACUGGAACUGAGAAACGGUCCAGACUCCUACGGGAGGCAGCAGUGGGGAAUAUUGGACAAUGGGCGCAAGCCCGAUCCAGCCAUACCGCGUGGGUGAAGAAGGCCUUCGGGUUGUAAAGCCCUUUUGUUGGGAAAGAAAUCCAGCUGGCUAAUACCCGGUUGGGAUGACGGUACCCAAAGAAUAAGCACCGGCUAACUUCGUGCCAGCAGCCGCAGUAA